rnacentral:rRNA from 1 species
CACAUUGGGACUGAGAUACGGCCCAGACUCCUACGGGAGGCAGCAGGUAAGAAUAUUCCGCAAUGGGGGGAACCCUGACGGAGCGACGCCGCGUGAACGAAGAAGGCCGGAAGGUUGUAAAGUUCUUUUCUGUCCGAGGAAUAAGUUUCGGAGGAAAUGCCGGGACGGUGACGGUAGGGCAGGAAUAAGCACCGGCUAAUUACGUGCCAGCAGCCGCGGUAACACGUAAGGUGCGAGCGUUGUUCGGAAUUAUUGGGCGUAAAGGGCAUGCAGGCGGGUCGCCAAGCUUGGUAAGAAAUACCGGGGCUCAACUCCGGAGCUAUAUUGAGAACUGGCGAGCUAGAGUUGCCGAAGGGUAUCCGGAAUUCCGCGUGAAGGGGUGAAAUCUGUAGAUAUGCGGAAGAACACCGAUGGCGAAGGCAGGAUACCGGCGGACGACUGACGCUGAGGUGCGAAGGUGCGGGGAGCGAACAGGAUUAGAUACCCUGGUAGUCCGCACCGUAAACGAUGUACACUAGGUGUCUGGCAUAACGGCUGGGUGCCAAAGCAAACGUGAUAAGUGUACCGCCUGGGGAGUAUGCCCGCAAGGGUGAAACUCAAAGGAAUUGACGGGGGCCCGCACAAGCGGUGGAGCAUGUGGUUUAAUUCGAUGGUACGCGAGGAACCUUACCUGGGUUUGACAUAGUAUCUGAUGCCGUAGAGAUACGGCAGCGUAGCAAUACGAGGUACAACAGGUGCUGCAUGGCUGUCGUCAGCUCGUGCCGUGAGGUGUUGGGGUUAAGUCCCGCAACGAGCGCAACCCCUACUGCCAGUUACUAACAGGUA